AUAUUGCGCAAUGGGGGAAACCCUGACGCAGCGAUGCCGCGUGAGUGAAGAAGGCCUUCGGGUCGUAAAGCUCUGUCAAGUGGGAAGAAUAGCGUGGAGACGAAUAAUCUCUGCGUAUGACGGUACCACUGAAGGAAGCACCGGCUAACUCCGUGCCAGCAGCCGCGGUAAGACGGAGGGUGCAAGCGUUAUUCGGAUUUAUUGGGCGUAAAGAGCGUGUAGGCGGCCGGUCAAGCCAGAUGUGAAAGCCCAGGGCUUAACCCUGGAAGUGCAUUUGGAACUGGCUGGCUUGAGUUCGGGAGAGGGAAGUGGAAUUCGGGGUGUAGAGGUGAAAUUCGUAGAUAUCCGGAGGAACACCGGUGGCGAAGGCGACUUCCUGGACCGAAACUGACGCUGAGACGCGAAAGCGUGGGGAGCAAACAGG
rnacentral:rRNA from 1 species